AUUCAAUUUACAAGAGGCGUUCUAACGCUGCAAAAUUAGUCGUUAGAGAUUUUGUUGCCGACAACACACAAAAGUUCCUCCAAAUUGAUAUUACCAAAGAAUAAAUAGUAUAAAAAGUGGAUGUGAAUAAGAAAUAUAAAGUCACAACAAAAAAAAAAAACAACUUGACGAAAUGAUCCAGAUCUUGCAAAUGAAUCCAAGUUUGCAAUGGCUUAAAAAAAAUAACAUCAAGGAAUAAUGGAGCAAAAUUGGUGCAAAACACAAUAUCCUAGGGCCGCCGGGCUCGAACAGGCGAGGCCUGGAUGAAAGGGGAAAUGAGAUCUAAUUUGGACACAGCUUAUUAUGCAAUACUUCUAUGCACUCGCGGAACACAUUGCUGACAGACGACUGUGAUAAACUGACAUGGUAAUCGUUGCCAGCGCUCUUUUGAUAACUUCCUUCAGCCAGUAUUCGAAUUGUUACUGGUUUUAGUAUGUUUGGGACACUUGUAGAUUUUACACGCCGACGGAGGUCUGGGGUGAUUUGAGCCAAAACAUAUUUGAACACAUCCUUACUAAGCCUGAACUUCUACUUACUUGGAAUCAGUCAUAUUCAUCCUCAGAUAAAAAAAAAAAAAUGCCAACACUUAACAUAAUUCAAUAUUUAAUUUAACAAAUAUAAAUAUAUAUAUAAAAUAAAUAAAAAACAAAUACCAG